AAUCAACGCUGGCGGCGUGCCUCAGACAUGCAAGUUGAACGAUUAAAGCUCUCUUCGGAGAGUGCAUAAAGUGGCGCACGGGUGAGUAACACGUAAGUAAUCUACCCUCGAGUGGGGAAUAACGUCCGGAAACGGACGCUAAUACCGCAUAACGCAGCGGCACCGCAAGGUGACAGUUGUUAAAGGAGAAAUCCGCUUGAGGAGGAGCUUGCGGCAGAUUAGCUUGNGGUAAGGUAACGGCUUACCAAGGCUACGAUCUGUAACCGGUCUAAGAGGACGGUCGGUCACACUGACACUGAAUAACGGGUCAGACUCCUACGGGAGGCAGCAGUCGGGAAUUUUGGGCAAUGGGGGAAACCCUGACCCAGCAACGCCGCGUGAAGGAUGAAGUAUUUCGGUAUGUAAACUUCGAAAGAAUAGGAAGAAUAAAUGACGGUACUAUUUAUAAGCUCCGGCUAACUACGUGCCAGCCGCCGCAGUAAU
rnacentral:rRNA from 1 species